GGAAUAUAGCUAAAUUGGUAGAGUGCUUGCCUUACAUGCAUGAGGACCUGAGUUCAAUCCCCAGCACCA
rnacentral:tRNA from 1 species